rnacentral:piRNA from 1 species
UCACUUUGUAGACCAGGCUGGC